AUCGCUUUUCGGCCUUUUGGCUAAGAUCAAGUGUAGUGUCUGUUCUUAUAAGAUUUACUAUCUGAAACAUCCUCUAUCCAAGGACAAUAUAUUCUAUGGAUUUUUGGAAUUAGGAGAUGGAACAGGGGCUUGCUCCAUCCACUCCACGCGUCGACCUGGUAUUGCAGUACUUCCAGAAAUGGUGGACCAAAG